rnacentral:rRNA from 1 species
CAGCCGCCGCGGUAAUACGUAGGUGGCAAGCGUUGUCCGGAAUUAUUGGGCGUAAAGGGCUCGCAGGCGGUUUCUUAGGUCUGAUGUGAAAGCCCCCGGCUCAACCGGGGAGGGUCAUUGGAAACUGGGAAACUUGAGUGCAGAAGAGGAGAGUGGAAUUCCACGUGUAGCGGUGAAAUGCGUAGAGAUGUGGAGGAACACCAGUGGCGAAGGCGACUCUCUGGUCUGUAACUGACGCUGAGGAGCGAAAGCGUGGGGAGCGAACAGGAUUAGAUACCCGCGUAGUCCCUGUCUCUUAUAC